rnacentral:rRNA from 1 species
GCGUGGGUGAAGAAGGUCUUCGGAUUGUAAAGCCCUUUCGACGGGGACGAUGAUGACGGUACCCGUAGAAGAAGCCCCGGCUAACUUCGUGCCAGCAGCCGCGGUAAUACGAAGGGGGCUAGCGUUGCUCGGAAUGACUGGGCGUAAAGGGCGCGUAGGCGGAUGACACAGUCAGGCGUGAAAUUCCCGGGCUCAACCUGGGGGCUGCGCUUGAUACAUGUUGUCUUGAGUUCGGAAGAGGGUCGUGGAAUUCCCAGUGUAGAGGUGAAAUUCGU